GCUGGUGCUUUAUAAUAGAUUACAGGGCAACCUGGGCGGUGAUAACGCAGUGAAAGCGUUGUUGCCGUUUACAUA
rfam:Clostridium sp. FS41 CLFS41_contig000069, whole genome shotgun sequence.